GACGAACGCUGGCGGCGUGCUUAACACGUGCAAGUCGAACGGAAAGGCCCUGCUGUUGUGGGGUGCUCGGGUGGCGAACGGGUGAGUAACACGUGAGUAACCUGCCCUUGACUUUGGGAUAACUUCAGGAAACUGGGGCUACUACCGGAUAGGAGCUCCUGCUGCAUGGGGGGGGUUGGAAAGUUUCGGCGGUUGGGGAUGGACUCGCGGCUUAUCAGCUUGUUGGUGGGGUAGUGGCUUACCAAGGCUUUGACGGGUAGCCGGCCUGAGAGGGUGACCGGCCACAUUGGGACUGAGAUACGGCCCAGACUCCUACGGGAGGCAGCAGUGGGGAAUAUGGCACAAUGGGCGGAAGCCUGAUGCAGCAACGCCGCGUGCGGGAUGACGGCCUUCGGGUUGUAAACCGCUUUCGCCUGUGACGAAGCGUGAGUGACGGUAAUGGGUAAAGAAGCACCGGCUAACUACGUG
rnacentral:rRNA from 1 species